rfam:Microgenomates (Amesbacteria) bacterium GW2011_GWC1_48_10 TY22_C0038, whole genome shotgun sequence.
GGGGAUGCCGGGUAUCGAUGGAUUGGCACUUUAAAAUUCGGCAAGCCGAGUUCGAAUCAUACUCGCUAAACAGAUUCAAACUUUAAGUGUCAAAAAUAAACUGACACAGGUGGCUGACUAUCUUUUUGGUAGUCCCACUCCCAAUCGCGGCUUUGCGCUAGCUUACGCUUAAGCAGCCGUGACUGGCGUCUUAAAUUUGUUUCCUCGACUGCAUUUUUAAGGCGGAUACCAAUCGAGGUGCACUGCAAAAGUCACGCGGUUAGACUCGCUGCAGCCAAGACCACUAACCGCAAAAAAAUAAAGCUUGUAAACCGAGUUUUCAAACCAUUUCAGACGGGGGUUCAACUCCCCCCAUCUCCACCG